GACGAACGCUGGCGGCGUGCCUAAUACAUGCAAGUCGAACGCAGUGGGGACGGGUGAGUAACACGUGGGUAACCUCCCAUCAGAGGGGAUAACACUUGGAAACAGGUGCUAAACCGAUACUGAUGGAUGUAGCCGCGGUGCAUUAUCUAGUUGGGGGGGUAACGGCCCACCACGGCCACGAGGCAUAGCCGGCCUGAGAGGGGGAUCGGCCACACUGGGACUGAGACACGGCCCAGACUCCUACGGGAGGCAGCAGUAGGGAAUAUUCGGCAAUGGACGAAAGUCUGACGGAGCAACGCCGCGUGAGUGAAGAAGGUUUUCGGAUCGUAAACCUCUGUUGUUAGAGAAGCGGUAUCUACCCAGAAAGCCACGGCUAACUACGUGCCAGCAGCCGCGGUAAUAC
rnacentral:rRNA from 1 species